rnacentral:misc_RNA from 1 species
AACUGAUACUACCUGCGGGAACCUGCGGAGGGAUCAUUACCGAAUCGUCGACAGCAGUUGUUGCUGGUCCUUGUAAGGGGACACGUGCACGCUCUGUUUACAUAUCCACUCACACCUGUGCACUCGCUGUAGUCCUAUGGUCUGGGAGACCCCGUCUUCCUUCUGUAGGCCUGCUCUUUUACAUACACGCUGUAACAAAGUCUCAUGGAAUGCGGUUCUGCGUUUAACGCGAUAUACAGU